rnacentral:rRNA from 1 species
UACGUAGGGUGCGAGCGUUAAUCGGAAUUACUGGGCGUAAAGCGUGCGCAGGCUGCUUCGCAAGUCAGGCGUGAAAUCCCCGGGCUUACCCUGGGAAUGCCAUUUGUGACUGCAAGACUAGAGUACGGCAGAGGGGGGUAGAAUUCCACGUGUAGCAGUGAAAUGCGUAGAUAUGUGGAGGAAUACCGAUGGCGAAGGCAGCCCCCGGGGUCGAUACUGACGCUCAUGCACGAAAGCGUGGGGAGCAAACAGU